CGUAACACGUGAGCAACCUGCCUUUGUGUGGGGGAGUAGCCGGCCCAACGGCCGGGUAAUACCGCAUACGUUCUUGCUGAGGAGUCUCAGUGAGAGGAAACCUCCGGGGCACAAAGAGGGGCUCGCGGCCUAUCAGCUAGUUGGCGGGGUAAUGGCCCACCAAGGCGACGACGGGUAGCUGGUCUGAGAGGAUGGCCAGCCACAUUGGGACUGAGAGACGGCCCAG
rnacentral:rRNA from 1 species